rnacentral:rRNA from 1 species
UGAGGAAUUUUGCGCAAUGGGCGAAAGCCUGACGCAGCAACGCCGCGUGGGGGAUGAAGGCCCUCGGGUUGUAAACCCCUUUUCUGGGGGAAGAUAAUGACGGUACCCCAGGAAUAAGUCACGGCAAACUACGUGCCAGCAGCCGCGGUAAUACGUAGGUGGCAAGCGUUGUCCGGAUUUACCGGGCGUAAAGCGCGCGCAGGCGGUUUGGAAAGUCUGUGGUGAAAUCUCUCAGCUCAACUGAGAGGGGUCUGCAGAUACUCCCAGACUUGAGUGCCGUAGACGAAGAUGGAAUUCCGGGUGUAGUGGUGAAAUGCGUAGAUAUCCGGAGGAACACCAGUGGCGAAGGCGGUCUUCGAGGCGGUAACUGACGCUGAGGCGCGAAAGCGUGGGGAGCGAACCGGAUUAGAUACCCGGGUAGUCCACGCCGUAAACGAUGGGCACUAGGUGUCGCGGGUAUCGACCCUGCGUGCCGUAGCUAACGCA